AAAGUCGUAACAAGGUUUCCGUAGGUGAACCUGCGGAAGGAUCAUUAUCGUAGGGCUUCGGCCCUGUCGAGAUAGAACCCUUGCCUUUUGAGUACCGUCCGUUUCCUCGGCAGGUCCGCCUGCCAAUGGGGACCCCCAAUAAACCCUUUUAUGUACCUGUAUCAGUCUGAAAAACAAACAAAAGUUAAAACUUUCAACAACGGAUCUCUUGGUUCUG
rnacentral:misc_RNA from 1 species